rnacentral:rRNA from 1 species
GAUGAAUGCUGGCGGCGUGCCUAACACAUGCGAGUCGAGCGGCAGCGCGAGUAGUUUACUACUUGGCGGCGAGCGGCGGACGGCUGAGUAACGCGUAGGAACGUGCCCCAAAGUGAGGAAUAACUGCCCGAAAGGGUGGCUAAUGCCGCAUAUGAUCUUCGGAUUAAAGUCUUCGGACGCUUUGGGAGGGGCCUGCGUUAGAUUAGGUAGUUGGUGAGGUAAUGGCUCACCAAGCCGACGAUCUAUAGCUGGUCUGAGAGGAUGAUCAGCCAGACUGGGACUGAGACACGACCCCGACUCCUACGGGAGGCAGCAGUGAGGAAUCUACCACAAUGGGCGAAAGCCUGAUGGAGCAACGCCGCGUGAAGGAUGAAGGCCCUAGGGUCGUAAACUUCUUUUAUAAGUGAAGAAUAUGACGGUAACUUAUGAAUAAGCACCGGCUAACUACGUG